CAAAAACCUUCUGCCGCCAGAAUGUAUCCAAUGCGCAACAAAGAUCGACCUCAAUGGCAGAGCUCAGUUGAGGAAUCCCGAGGCGCUCUUUGGCAUCCUUCUGUAGCAAUCAAGAUUAUCGCAUAGUGGACCACUGUCGGGUAGAUUAGAAUGUCCACAGUGCAUGCACUUGAAUAUGAAGCUGAUCAACAUGACAUCGUUGAUCGCUGACUCCGUCAACAAAAUAUUGGGACCUAUUUUGGAUGCGGGUAUCGAGGUGUCCGUUGUGAUAAGAAGUUGUGGAGUCCUUAUGAGUGGUGACUUCCCGAAAUGCACACCGAUUCUUGACCUCAUCGAGCCCAAUAUAAGACAGUCACAUACAAUGGACAUCAUUGUCAGUCGGUUGACGGCUCCACAUGGCCCAUCAUCACGGACUCAGCAACCAUGGGCCUUUACCCCCAGCAACCAUGGCUCCUAUAACCACGGUAUCAAGAGUUACUAUAAGCAACACGCAGGAUUCUGGCAAACACACAAUUGACAAGAGAAGUUCUGGAAACAGUUUUGGCUUAGCUAGUAAUCGCAUUAUCACGUGUUUGGUGAUUCUUAGAUUUUAUGAGUAAACAACAGUACAACUCUUCAAAUUACAGAAGCAGCAACUAGGUUUAAGGCCGUGGACUGUUUGAUUGUUUAUCUCUGUAUGACUGUAAUCUAGAACUGCGUUGUUAUUUAUAAUCAAAUUCAGGACAUCCAAAAUACCGCUCAUUAAAUAAUUUAACCGAUGCGGAAACACGUAACUGUUAAAAAAAGUGCUUUAUGAAGAUCUAGUUACACAGUGUAUUAUGUGCAAGAA